rnacentral:rRNA from 1 species
GAUGAACGCUAGCAGGAGGCUUAAUACAUGCAAGUCGAGCGGGAUCCACCUUUCGGGGUGGUGAGAGCGGCGCACGGGUGAGUAACGCGUACACGACCUACCUCUGACAAGGGGAUAGCCCUGGGAAACUGGGAUUAAUACCCUAUACGAUUCCGGAUAAUAAAGGUCUGGAAUGAAAGCUCCGGCGGUCAGAGAUGGGUGUGCGUCUGAUUAGCUAGUUGGUAGGGUAACGGCCUACCAAGGCGAUGAUCAGUAGGGGGCGUGAGAGCGUGGACGCCCACACGGGAACUGAGACACGGACCCGAAUGCGACGGGAGGCAGCAGUAAGGAAUAUUGGUCAAUGGUCGCAAGCCUGAACCAGCCAUCCUGCGUGCAGGAAGAAGGCCCCAUGGGUUGUAAACUGCUUUUGUCAGGGAAUAAACCUGUGGAUUUAUCCGCAGCUGAAGGUACCUAAAGAAUAAGCACCGGCUAACUACGUGCCAGCCGCCGCCGUAACAC